rnacentral:rRNA from 1 species
GAUGAACGCUGGCGGCGUGCUUAACACAUGCAAGUCGAACGAAGCAUUUCGGUCUUAAUCUUCGGAAGCAGACUGAUCUGACUGAGUGGCGGACGGGUGAGUAACGCGUGGGUAACCUGCCCUGUACAGGGGGAUAACAGUUAGAAAUGACUGCUAACACCGCAUAAGCGCACAGGAAGGCAUCUUUCGGUGUGAAAAUAUUUAUAGGUACAGGAUGGGCCCGCGUCUGAUUAGCCAGUUGGCAGGGUAACGGCCUACCAAAGCAACGAUCAGUAGCCGGCUUGAGAGAGUGAACGGCCACAUUGGGACUGAGACACGGCCCAAACUCCUACGGGAGGCAGCAGUGGGGAAUAUUGCACAAUGGGGGAAACCCUGAUGCAGCGACGCCGCGUGAGUGAAGAAGUAUUUCGGUAUGUAAAGCUCUACCAGCAGGGAAGAAAAUGACGGUACCUGACUAAGAAGCCCCAGCUAACUACGUGCCAGCAGCCGCAGUAA